CCUACGGGUGGCAGCAGUGAGGAAUAUUGGUCAAUGGACGCAAGUCUGAACCAGCCAUGCCGCGUGCAGGAAGACGGCCCUAUGAGUUGUAAACUGCUUUUGUACGAGGGUAAAGUCAGGUACGCGUACCUUUCUGUAUGUACCUUACGAAUAAGGAUCGGCUAACUCCGUGCCAGCAGCCGCGGUAAUACGGAGGAUUCAAGCGUUAUCCGGAUUUAUUGGGUUUAAAGGGUGCGUAGGCGGGCGGUUAAGUUAGUUGUGAAAUCCUGAGGCUCAACUUCGGAAUUGCAUCUGAUACUGGCAGGCUAGAGAGUAGUUGCGGUAGGCGGAAUGUAUGGUGUAGCGGUGAAAUGCUUAGAGAUCAUACAGAACACCGAUUGCGAAGGCAGCUUACCAAGCUGCGACUGACGUUGAGGCACGAAAGCGUGGGGAGCAAACAGGAUUAGAUACCCGUGUAGUC
rnacentral:rRNA from 1 species